rnacentral:rRNA from 1 species
CUUGAUCCUUAGUGACGCAGCUAACGCACUAAGUUGACCGCCUGGGGAGUACGGCCGCAAGGUUAAAACUCAAAUGAAUUGACGGGGGCCCGCACAAGCGGUGGAGCAUGUGGUUUAAUUCGACGCAACGCGAAGAACCUUACCUGGCCUUGACAUCCUGCGAACCCUCUGGAGACAGAGAGGUGCCUUCGGGAGCGCAGUGACAGGUGCUGCAUGGCCGUCGUCAGCUCGUGUCGUGAGAUGUUGGGUUAAGUCCCGUAACGAGCGCAACCCCUGUCCUUAGUUACCAGCGAUUCGGUCGGGAACUCUAGGGAGACUGCCGGUGACAAACCGGAGGAAGGUGGGGAUGACGUCAGGUCAUCAUGGCCCUUACGGCCAGGGCUACACACGUGCUACAAUGGCGCGCACAGAGGGCUGCAAACCCGCGAGGUUGAGCUAAUCCCUUAAAGCCGGUCUCAGUUCGGAUCGAAGUCUGCAACUCGACUUCGUGAAGUUGGAGUCGCUAGUAAUCGCANAUCAGCAAUGCUGCGGUGAAUACGUUCCCGGGCCUUGUACACUCCGCC